AGCGCCGAGUCCCGGGGUCCCUUUUGUGCCUCGCGGGAAGGUGGGUCCGGCGGCCGCGCUGCUUUGGCGGCGGGCGGCGGGCGGCGGGCGGCGGGGGCCUCGGGCCGCUGCAGCCGGGGCGCCGCUCCGCAGGGACUUGGGCUGGCGAGCGGCACCCGGGCUUGCGGACGGGCGGACGCCGAGGGCUUGGGCGAGAGGCAAGGCGUUCUUCGGGAGGGUGAGCGAACCCAGGGCUUGCGCUUUGGGGACCGGUGGACGCCGUUGUGCUCCCGCCGUUCGGUCACUACAACGGCGAUCUUUUAUUCUAUUUAAUUUGGCUUUGGGAGGGCAUCGGGGCUUUUAACUGCCUUCCUCGACCCCACCGCCAUGCAGAACUGCACUUCUUAAAGCCUAAAGUGUGUUCCCUUGAUCUCCGGUUCGCUGUAGCUGUGAUGUUUAGGGACAGAAGGGAUCCUUCGCAUCCCACGUCCCCGGUGUUCAUUCCUACGCAUUCGCACGAGGGAAACUCUUGCUUUUUAAGUUGUACUUUUCACCGUGCAGAGAAGAUCCGCGAUGCAUUCUUUUGGAUAAGCAGCGUCUAUAUCCGUCUCUUUCGGAUUUGACGGCGCUGGGGCACGGAGCGAAGUUAAACUUGUGGCUCGCAGCAAGUGGUGCCUUCCAAAGCUAGAGCUGUAUUUGGGGAAGCCCUGCUUUCCAGGAAUUUAAAUGAGACUUUUUGUGGUUGCCUUCCAGGGCUCUCCUAGUACCAUAUUUGUUUUGUCAGGCUGAACUUUCAAAGCUGUUUUAUAAUCCAAGAAGCACUUUGGGAGAAAAGUAAUGCUUGGCUGGUUUUUUGUGAACUUAUUUUUACAGGGUCUUGCUGAAAACUCGACGAGAGGCAAACCAUAUUUGGUUGAAAUCUUUGUUUUCCGUGCCUUUCGCCUUCUAACAGUGAAGGGGCUUGCAGAUCCCCUGUGCGGGGGACUGGCUGCCUGGGUGAAGGUUCGUUGGGCCUCCCCCAGCUGUAAGGCCCCACGU
rnacentral:lncRNA from 12 species